rnacentral:lncRNA from 1 species
UCCAAGUCUAAGUUCAAGAUCUAAUUCUUUGACGGGAUAAUAAUUACGACGCUCACCGACAAAUCCCUGACGAUCACCACCCAAAUCUCCUUCAUUUGCAUCUUCUUCGCCAAGUAAGCAAUACGUAACGUCUGCAUGAUUACCGGUAAUUUGCUUCUUCUCUUUUUCCCGAUCAUCACGGCAAAACUUUCCCAUCUUGAGAUUGGAUCCUUCCGGUGCAUAUGGAAGAACGGACCGCUUACGAAUAUUGUCUUGCAGAAUCAUCCUAGAAGCAUGAGCCGGCGAGAAAGGUAACGAGGCGACGAAGCUGAUCUUGGGGGGAGUGUGAUUAUACACCGCAAUCGGUGAGCAUGCAGGAUGUUGGAGAGAGGUAGUGAUAUUAUCAGUCGUAGUUGUGUUGCUAUCUUGUUGAACUUGUCUGAGCCGUGCUCGAUCUCGUCUGUGAACGUUCAUAUGUCCACCAAGCGCCUGUGCAGAUUGAAACUCUCUUUUGCAGAAACUACAAGCAUAUGAUCUAGGUGGCCAAACGCAGCUACCGAAACCACCACCGGAAGAGUUAUCUGCAAAAGCCCUCUCUUUCCAAUUGGUAUCAUCC